rnacentral:rRNA from 1 species
GAUGAACGCUAGCUACAGGCUUAACACAUGCAAGUCGAGGGGAAACGACAUCGAAAGCUUGCUUUUGAUGGGCGUCGACCGGCGCACGGGUGAGUAACGCGUAUCCAACCUGCCCACCACUUGGGGAUAACCUUGCGAAAGUAAGACUAAUACCCAAUGAUAUAUCUAGAAGACAUCUGAAAGAGAUUAAAGAUUUAUCGGAGAUGGAUGGGGAUGCGUCUGAUUAGCUUGUUGGCGGGGUAACGGCCCACCAAGGCUACGAUCAGUAGGGGUUCUGAGAGGAAGGUCCCCCACAUUGGAACUGAGACACGGUCCAAACUCCUACGGGAGGCAGCAGUGAGGAAUAUUGGUCAAUGGACGAGAGUCUGAACCAGCCAAGUAGCGUGCAGGAUGACGGCCCUAUGGGUUGUAAACUGCUUUUAUAAGGGAAUAAAGUGAGUCUCGUGAGACUUUUUGCAUGUACCUUAUGAAUAAGGACCGGCUAAUUCCGUGCCAGCAGCCGCCGUAA